UUGACAAACGCUAUAUUCUUGUAAUAUAGAGGAAAGUCCAUGCUCGCACAGUCUGUGAUGACUGUAGUGUUUGUGUGUAGGGAAAAAAUAACCUACAGGAGAGAAUUCUCACGGCUCUUUAAGAAUCUAAGUACAUUUGUAUAUGAUUCGAGGAAGUAUAAAAGUGCCAAAGUGACGAUGCCUUUUAGAAAUAAAAGGAGUGGAACGUGGUAAACCCCGCAAGCGAGAAACCCAAAUUUUGGUAGGGGAGCUUGAGUUAGAAAGAAACGAAUUUCGCUCGGGAUCAAGUAAUUGAUAGAUAAAUGUUUGUCGCCUAGAAAUAGGAACAGAACAUGGCUUAUAA
rnacentral:RNase_P_RNA from 1 species